GGGAGAGAGACACACACACACAUCCUAUGGAUUGAGGGAGAGAGACACACACAUCCUAUGGAUUGAGGGAGAGAGACACACACACAUCCUAUGGAUUGAGGGAGAGAGACACACACACAUCCUAUGGAUUGAGGGAGAGAGAGACACACACAUUAUAUGAAUGCAUGGAGGGAGAGAGAGACACACACAUCCUUUGGAUGGAGGGAGAGAGAGACAC